CUCAGGGUUGGAACUGCCACAGGUUGGAAGUCAUAUCAGAAGAACCCAGGGUCUUGAUAUGCCUUCUUUUGACAUGGGGACCACUUACUAGGCCUGGAGAGAAGGAAAAAUUAGAAUCACCUAAAUGGAAAUCAUAUACUUGGCCAUCAAUUCAAGUCAACAGAUAUGAACGGGGACUUCCUGUGCUCCUGUGUCUACAGCAGGUUUUGUGAGGAAGUAUAAAAAUAUAUCAUCGAGCUCCUGCCCUUGGAGCUUUCAGGGAAGUGAGAAAGGUACAUUCCAUUUGACUCCAGUGGAUUGAUGCCAAGGAGCACAUUUCCUAUUGCAGAAGUUUCUGCUCAGGCACCACCGAUGCACUGGGAAGGGGGAAGGUGGUGCAGGAUCAUGAGAAGAGAAUCAAGAAGGAACUGAAAUGAGAAGCUGAGUGCAAGAGCAAUGAACUCAGAGUAGGCUGGCUCCGGCUUCUCCACCUGGUGGUCUUCACAGCACAACGAGAAAUGAAAGUCCUGAUGCACAAGCCGUCACCAAACCUCUGCUUGAAUCACAUUUACUCAUGUCCAACUGACCCAAGUAAGUCACAAGGGCAAGACCAGAUUCAAGGAGUAGAGACGUGGAUUUCACCGCUUGAUGGGAAGAGCUGUAAAGUCACAUUGUCAAGAGGGAUCUGUGGCCAUUUUUGCAAUCUACUACACGAACCUUGAGCUAUGCUUGAUACACAGUAGUUAGAAGGCUUGCUGCAAGAAUUAAGAGGUGAAUAAGGCCAAAUACUGUAAUGGCAUUGUCCACUCCUCUACCCCCAUCAUUGCCACAUCUACUUCCAUGCCUCUUCCCUACUGUUGAGAUCUUUGACCUGGGCCAAAACUUUAUCCAGUGGUUUAGAAGGUUUAAUGCCCUGGGCUUAAAUAUGAUGGCUCCUUUCUGAGAGUUGCAGCUCACAUUGGACCUCUUUGCCCUAUCCAUUUUGACACGGGAGCUGUGCAUACCUUGCUGGAUUAAUGGUUAUGUCCCCUCCUCUUUGCUCAUUGAGCAGAUCUGGGAAAGGGGGAAGGGGGGAAACUCCUGGUCCACAAGACCAGGGUCAGCCUUAGCCAGCUGCAUCUCCUUCUGCCAGUGGCUGUCACUUGGUUCCCCCUAGUGGCUUCUUCUUGCAUAGCACCACUCAAGGUAACGUGAAUUGCCAAAAAGUUGGAUGGAAUUAAGAGCCUUCCAUGGGAGAGCUCUCGACUUAAUGAAAAGCUAUAGAUGGAAAGAAAAGGAAUAAACAAAACCACAUUUAAAAAUUA